AUUGAACGCUGGCGGCAGGCCUAACACAUGCAAGUCGAACGGUAACAGAAAGCAGCUUGCUGCUUUGCUGACGAGUGGCGGACGGGUGAGUAAUGUCUGGGAAACUGCCUGAUGGAGGGGGAUAACUACUGGAAACGGUAGCUAAUACCGCAUAACGUCGCAAGACCAAAGAGGGGGACCUUCGGGCCUCUUGCCAUCGGAUGUGCCCAGAUGGGAUUAGCUAGUAGGUGGGGUAAAGGCUCACCUAGGCGACGAUCCCUAGCUGGUCUGAGAGGAUGACCAGCCACACUGGAACUGAGACACGGUCCAGACUCCUACAGGAGGCAGCAGUGGGGAAUAUUGCACAAUGGGCGCAAGCCUGAUGCAGCCAUGCCGCGUGUAUGAAGAAGGCCUUCGGGUUGUAAAGUACUUUCAGCGGGGAGGAAGGGAGUAAAGUUAAUACCUUUGCUCAUUGACGUUACCCGCAGAAGAAGCACCGGCUAACUCCGUG
rnacentral:rRNA from 1 species